rnacentral:lncRNA from 11 species
CUCUCUCCCUACAGAAGACCCAAGGCUAUUCACAAUAUAUACUUGCGUAUAAGGAGCUGGCCACUUGGAGUGCCUCUGGUGUCGCUGUGAGAAGGUCCUCGAGUGUGUAUGUGCACAUGUAAGUGGUCUGUGGUUUGC